CCUACGGGCGGCUGCAGUGAGGAAUUUUGGUCAAUGGACGAGAGUCUGAACCAGCCAAGUAGCGUGAAGGAUGACUGCCCUAUGGGUUGUAAACUUCUUUUAUAAAGGAAUAAAACGAGGCACGUGUGUCUUUUUGCAUGUAUUUUAUCUAUAAGGAUCGGCUAACUGCGUGCCAGGAGCCGCGGUAAUAUGGAGGGUCCGAGCGUUAUCCGGGUAUAUUGGGUUUAAAGGGAGCGGAGAUGGGUUGUUAAGUCAGUUGUGAAAGUUUGCGGCUCAACCGUAAGAUUGCAAUGGAUAAUGGCAGUCUAGAGUACAGUUGAGGUAGGCGGAAUUCGAGGUGUAGCGGUGAAAUGCUUAGAUAUCACGAAGAACCCCGAUUGCGAAGGCAGCUUACUAAACUGUGACUGACAUUGAUGCUCGAAAGUGUGGGUAUCAAACAGGAUUAGAUACCCGAGUAGUC
rnacentral:rRNA from 1 species